ACUGUUGCAGGCAGUUGAACUUCUUUCAGUUUCUAAACCAUACAGUCUUUGGUUCCAUUCUCGUAUGGAUGUGAGGUCUGUGCUCCAGCUUGCUUGUUUUUUUUUCUUUCACCGCUGUGCACACUCAAAAUUAUAUCUGGCUAAAUGAUUUCAGUGGUAACGGGGCAUGCUUCGUCAAUGCAAUGAUGCAAAUGAUGGAGUGUCAUUCCAGAAGUUCUUAAAAGCUGCAAAACACUUACUAGCAGGGUAGAUGGGUAUGCUAACGAGCUAUCUAGCUGAACGCUUUAGCGUUCAUCACAGGUUUGUUUAAUGGUGCAUUCGAGUUAAUUCUACUGAUAUGGCACAUAGGAAACAAGGUAAGUCCAUUUCGCUUCUAACGCUAACAUUAGCUGGUUUUACAAGUUUGUGCUAGCUAGCUAUCCUGCGAGUAAGGCUGCUACUCACCUCGCGCAUCUCACUGUGUCAAACGCAAGUGGCAUCCUGCCCUGUCAAUCCCGCGUGUUUUUGCAUUAUUAUUACUAUUAGCUGCUGUUGUGAUGAUUUUUUUUCCCCCAUUUGUCCAUUAACUACAUUUUUAUUUGAAGCCUAUGGCAUGUACUUGACAUGGACAGCAAAGUAAAAUAAAAGUUAAAAGAUGCUACACAAGAUUAUAUAUAUACUUUUUACAACAGAAGCCGCCCCUGAAGGGAGAAAUCAAUAGGCAAAUAUAUUAGCCAAUCACAACAGUGGCAGUUAAGUAAUGUUGUGAAACUCUAUCAUUCCACUAUUAGCGCCAGGUAUAUUAGACAUAUUUAGACAUUACUAUGCAAAAAAAUAUGUGAAGCACCUUUAAGAAUGUUAGUUAACUUUGUUUCAGUAUUCCAGUCUAACGUUCUUCAGAUGCUGUACCUUACCUACCAGGCCUGUGAAAGAAUCCAGCUCUCCACCCCUUGAGACCUCUGUGAAACAAAAGUAGGCCUAGAGGAGGGCACUAUCACUGGUAAGUAGAGUUUCAUAUUACAAUAUACAAGUUAUUCUAAAAUUAUUCUUAUCUCUGUCAUUCGCAGGAGAAAGAGACGGCGAUAUUGAGGGCGAUGGUCGGGGCCUUGUAAGGAUCUGGAGGUGAGUGGGAGAUAGAGGGAUAACACUAUCCCCAGCCAGGCAGACGAGUGCAGAUUACAAGACGAGUGCAGAGGGAUCUGUCACGCCUUCAGCCAGCAUGCAUAAAUACUGUGGAUUUGUUGAGAACACUCAUGAGUCCAACAAAGAUGAAGAGGUAGAAGAAGACGAUGGAGGAAGAAGGAGAAAUGGGAACUAUAGCUCCAGGAGGUGGGACAGUGGUGGACGAAGCGGGCCAGGUUACAGGAUCCAACCCUGGGGACCUCCAUGGAGGAAGGAGUGUGGCUCAACAAGAAGAGGAGGAAGCAACGUCAUAAACAGAAGCUCUUGUCUCUGGGUCUGGUGCCGCGUGCUGCGGCUCGAGUUCACCUACGAGAGCGAGGGGGGAGGAAGAGAUGAGGCAGAGAAGAGCAGCUGAAGUGAUAAUCUUCCUCAGGACCACACAAGAUCUAUGUGUCUGAUUGUGCGUGUGACAUACCAGGGCUGCUAAUCAACCCAGAUACGGUCACAUAUAGCCUAGGCUGUGUUUCAGUCUUCCUAAGAGCUGGCCAAAAGUGCUGAAGCAUAGUUAAUUUUAUCGCUUUCGGGAUUGGCAGAAAAUAAAUAAUUUAAACAGCACUGUGCAGAGCACACGCACAUUGAAAGUGAAAGCACAGCUCAUUAAUCACUAGCCUAUAACAACUUGAGGACCUUGAGAGAUUUAGGAAUCGAGGUGUAGAGGUGCAUUGAGGUGUUUGGGUUUACUUCAUCAUGCUCAAAUGUAAUGGACAGGCUCAGUCAUCUGGUCUGUCAUAAUCCCUCCAUGACUUGCCUCUGGAGGGCUAGACAGACCGACAGUCAGUCAGUCCAAAGAAUCCCAUUGGUUCCAGGGAUUAAGGUUUCUCUGUUGGUGAAUUACUGUGGAAGGCUAAGAAGGAAGACCUCUGGAAAUGUCCACAGUAGUUCAGUUAAAGGGGCCAGAUGCUCCUGUUCCUUAUAUGCACCUCAGUCUAGAGAAAGACCAGGUGAUUAGACACAGGCCCAUUCAGCAACGGAGUUUAUAAUGGUAGGUGGAGUAAUAGUAUACUUACUCCACUACCAAGCAGGUUCAUCUGGUAGUGGAGGGCCUUCUGACCAGCCUGUACAAUGGAACAUUCCCCCCUGCUGUUUUGGCCCAGCUCCACAGCCUCUAGUCCCUGGUGCAGCAACAGGACACAGCAAGGAUGCCAAAGGAUCUGCAGGAGCUCCAGAACAGCUCUACCAUGUCUACUGGUGAUGCCACUGCAGUUGUGUCCCUGUUUCAGUAUUGGAUCACAGACAUCCCGCACCAUGCAGAGAGAAUGGAAAACAGGCCAACCUACAACAUAACCUUCCUAGUCGAGCCAACCAACAACACAACCUUAGACUUUCCUAGAUGUUCAGGGUUUUUAACAAUACUGCUGACGGAAAACAUGUCUGACUUAAUUAAUUGUGAGCCCAUGAAACGGAGUUAAGUACAUACCGUAAACUCACUCCACAGCUAGCUUUAAAUGUCGCGGAUGGAGCCAUCCAAUCGGUACCUUUUGGGUGGCUCAAACCGUUGGAAUGUUGUCAAGGAGGGAGGCCACAUGUGUUAGCAAAGCAGAGGUCCCGAGUUCGAGCCAGGUACGAGCCGAAUCGGGGAAGUGAUACCAGACAAAAUGAAUUAACCGUUUAAUGGAUUUUCCCCACAGAAAAGUGAGGCGAGCAAGUCUUUUAAAUAAAAAUUAAAAAAUGAAAACAUUAAGUGGAUAAGGAAUAACAUUACUUUACCACAUUGUCCUAUGCACCUGUGUGGGCUCUAGAGUUAUAUUAUUUCAUGUGAAAACGUACACUAUUUUUCUUAAAAAGAAUGCAGAUGUUACAAUGUUGUUAUAACCAUGAGAAAUUAAAAACACUAAAGUAUAA